UCUGCCCUUGAUUUUACUGAAA
rnacentral:miRNA from 1 species